CAGGUGGCCAUGACCCUGCUGGAGUGCGGGGGGGACCUCCAGCCCCCCAGGGGUUCCCUGCGCCUCCUCUGCCGAGGGUCCGGGUUCGAUUUCAGGAGUUACCCAUUGAGCUGGGUGCGCCAGAGACCCGGGCAGUGGCUGGAGUGGCUCGCAGGGAUCUACAGCGAUGGUUCCUACAUCUCCUACGCGCCAUCGGUCAAGGGUCGGUUCACGAUCUCCAGGGACAACGGGCAGAGGUCGGUGAUGCUGACCAUGAAGAACCUCAAGGACGAGGACUCUGCCACCUAUUUCUGUGCCAAGGGUUUUGCUGGUUAUGCUGGUGAUAUCGAUCCCUGCUAUCAGCGCUGGGCCCUGGGCUGUGGACACAAAUUCAGUCACCGAGAGUGGGGAUGA